rnacentral:rRNA from 1 species
GUCCGUGAUUAUACAGAUGUGGAAACGCCUUGCUCCAUCCCGAACCAAGAAGCUAAGCACAUCGUGGGUGAUGAUACUGCGCCUUACUGGC